rnacentral:rRNA from 1 species
AUUGAACGCUGGCGGCAGGCCUAACACAUGCAAGUCGAGCGCGUGGCGGACGGGUGAGUAAUGUCUGGGAAACUGCCUGAUGGAGGGGGAUAACUACUGGAAACGGUAGCUAAUACCGCAUACCAUCAGAUGUGCCCAGAUGGGAUUGGCUGGUUGGUGGGGUAAGGGCUCACCAAGGCGACGAUCCCUAGCUGGUCUGAGAGGAUGACCAGCCACACUGGAACUGAGACACGGUCCAGACUCCUACGGGAGGCAGCAGUGGGGAAUAUUGCACAAUGGGCGCAAGCCUGAUGCAGCCAUGCCGCGUGUAUGAAGAAGGCCUUCGGGUUGUAAAGUACUUUCAGCGGGGAGGCGUUACUCGCAGAAGAAGCACCGGCUAACUCCGUGCCAGCAGCCGCGGUAAUAC